rnacentral:rRNA from 1 species
GACGAACCGUGCGAACGUUGUUCGGAAUCACUGGGCUUAAAGGGCGCGUAGGCGGGCCGCCAAGUCUGGAGUGAAAGCCCCACGGCUCAACCGUGGAAGCGCUUCGGAUACUGGCGGCCUCGAGGGGGUGCAGGGGCGUGCGGAACUUCCGGUGGAGCGGUGAAAUGCGUAGAUAUCGGAAGGAACACCGGUGGCGAAAGCGGCGCGCUGGACACCUACUGACGCUGAGGAGCGAAAGUGUGGGGAGCAAACAGG